GUUGUGGUUGAGGUUUGGGUGUGGCUUGCGGUUGUGGUUGGGGCUUGCUGUGGUUGCCUUGUUCUUGGGCGUUGAUGUGAUGGCUGGGGUGGUGAGGAUGAAGAAUCUCUUCCUUGUCUUAAGGAAGAUCCGAUUCUUCUUGCUGGUCAUUUAGCAGGUGUCAUGAAUGUUAGGAUAGGGAAAAAAGCUAGGGUUUGUGAAUGGGGUGGAGAUUUGAGAGGUAUUUGAAGAGAAAGAGUUGUGGAGAGGAAGAAUUCUUAAAUGGAUGGGAGUUUAAUGGCGGGAGGAGCUUUUAAAGAGGCCCUUUGUCUUUUCGUUUUUGAGCGUUUUUACGCCCUUGGGUAUUGAGUCUGCGACUUGAUACACGGGUCGUGUUUCGAGGACCCGUGUAACUUUCUGUCCAAAAGUUGC
rnacentral:misc_RNA from 1 species